AAAGGUAGCUCCAUGUCACCACAGUGGUGACCCUUCUCUCUGACUCAUUUCCCAUUAUGAGCACAAUUAGCGUGCAGCAUGUGUCCUGGGAGAUUAAUGAUCCGCUGGAGGGAAGAAAGAGGAACUUGGGGAAUGGAUCUGGGUGUAGUCAGAGCUCGCCUCUCCCUGGGAGCUGCCUUGGUGCUGUAAAGGAUCUCAUGUCUUUUGCCAGCUUUGAUGAAACUUGCUAGUUGGAAAGCAGAGUGAAAUCUCAGGCUCUACAACUCUUGACAUAAGUAUUUUAUUCAUUUUUGGUGUCUAUGUUCUUGAAGUACUUAAGAGAUUUGGGGCUAUGCAAGUAAUAGACCAACUUUGUGAUUCAUAUUAAAAUUAAGUGAUUUAAACGCAGGAUUUUUAAUUUGAAAUUAUUUAAGUUUAUAAACAGUAUGGGAACAUUUAGAAAGACCUGGAUUCAUUCUGUUUAUAAUUGUAAUCCAUUAAAUUUAUGAAAAUUACCUAAGAAAUCUGAAAAGGUUUGGUUUAGCCAUCAGGCAAUUGAAGUACCUAAACAAGGAAAUAAAAUAUAUUAAAUUUAUAAAUCUUACUUUAAAUGUUUGAAUGAGUUAAAUAACUCCGUUUGUAUUGGGACCAAACUCUUUAACUCUUUAAGACUGCCUUAAAUCAUUUUGUUAAAAAUCUUAGAUUGAUUUCCACUUCUAUGUAGAGAGUUAGAAAGUAUAUCACCUCUACCCUAACAACAAGAAUAUGACAAAUGAAAUACAAAAUGAUAAUGUUCCUUGAACUCAUCAGAGGACUGACAUCACAGGGCAACUAAGCAACUAGAAUUCCAAAGAAGGACAAGCCCCUCCAAAGACAGGAAGCAUGAGGGCAGGCUCAUCAGUGUCAGAGCAGGGGAGACCAGCACAGACACCUUACAAGCAGAAUGACCUUCUGUGGCUACAGAGAAAGGCUUCAGGCAAAGAGAUGCAGCUCUGGGCCCCAGAGUCCGCUGGAGCACACUGAAGCUGGAGCACACUGAAGUGGAAGAUGGGGCUGCAGACAGAGACUGGGCAGCCUCUGCUCCAGGGAGGCCCGAGAGCCAGAGAGCAGAUUCCAUAAGAAGAAUAACUCCCAUUCCUCAUGCAUGAGACCCUCUGCUAAAUGCUUCCUGUGCACCACCUCCAGAAAUCCUCCCAAGCCAGGACACCAGCAGUAUUACAGGAACUGGAUGACAAAAAGAAGAGCCGAUAUAACCAGGAACCUACUCUGGCCACCCCAAGUAAGGAUCUAAAGUCCAGCCUCCUCCUCCACUGCCCUCAAGGCCUUUCCUCAUGAAAGCAGAGGUUCUGAAUGCUGAUUUCUGUUUUAAAGCCCAAUAACUCUUUAAACAUCU
rnacentral:lncRNA from 1 species